CGAGCAGCCCCACCAUUGACACAUCGAUCGACAUCGUUCCGCGUUCUUCAUCCAUCGAGAGUGAAUCCCGUGCGGAAAUAAGUGUCGAAAAUAAGUGUGCGUCGAAAACAGCAACGUACCAUUGUCGGAACGUAAAGGUCCUUUGCUUAAUCGAUCCCGUACAUGCUACGCGCUGCCUCGAGGAAGCUAAUUUAGAACGCCAAGGGUUGGAGAUGAGUUUCGUUUCAACGGCGCGAUGAAUGACUGCUAAGCACGAAAACAAUCGCUCUCGCGAAUCGCGCGUUGUUCGGAAGUGAAUGCCGGAAAGAGAGAUUCGCCGCGCGAUUGGAAGAUGUCGCGCCAAGUACUUCCCGGAGCGCGUUCAAAAUGGACGCCGGUGUGCCAAGUGAGCCGCGUCGAAAGAAUACAUUCUGCCGCGCGACACUUGUUGCUAAGACCGAUCGGCCGUGUUGGAAUAAAAAGGCUCGCCUUCGCGAUCGCGACUCUCAAAUCUACCCCCGAAGGACGACGACGACAACGGCGAGAGCGACGACGACGGCGACGGUGAAGGCGGUUCACGAUCUCGUGGCCGAGAUCGUUUUUCCUGUGCGAUUCGAAAACUCGGACAUAACCGUUCUUCGAAAGUCGCUCCAGUAAAGCCGCUUGCCUUCGAGUGGAGUGGCGGUUUACGUAAGUGUUUUUAUACCUGCAACAUUUACAUUCUGUUUGGCGGCGAGCGAGUUCGAAAUAGAGAAGCUGAUGCGUAAAAUAUCCGAACUAUAAAAGAGGUUACACAGUUCGCGUGCGAGCAACAACAUAAUCUCGACACUCGGUCUCAAAGUUCACAUGAAUAAAGUGUUUGGUUGGAUUGACCAAAUUUCUGAAUGUAUGAACGGACCCAGAACAUUCUGAUUAAUGUUACCGGAAUUCAAGUUAACCAGAAAUCUCAUUAAUUUGAACGAGAUUUUGCACACAGAAAAACUGCAUUCGAGCAAAUGUUACUUGCUUUGCUUCGAGUAUUUCACAAAUUUAUAUAUCCACAUCAUAAAUUUGUCACAAGCAUUAAAUUCAUUCAAAAUAUAUUCUGAAUCCUAAUAAGUUUAGCAUUUUAGUCAAGAAUGUUAAAACACAAAAAUUCAAUUCGUUUACUACACAGAGUCGAGCCAACUUCGAGUAGAGUUUUAUAAUAUUCUUGCAAAGAGGACAUAAAUUUUCUUCUUUUGAGUAUGUGAUUACGAGUUUUUCUAAAGUUCACGAGGAGCUUAUUUGAAGAUUAUUACCAAGAAAAUAUUCUUUGUCGAAAGUAACUAUUGCUCAAGAGAAGGAAAGCGAAUUGAGUAAUCGCUUUUCUUAGCAGCAGUAUGAUACUUUUUUGCGGUAACUUCAACAUGGAAUUUCUGCUUCGUUCACGUGUCACCAGAAAUUUGAUUACUCCAACUUAAUAUCUUCAUUCGUGCAGGAGACGGAAAGAGUGGAGCGUUGAUUUUGCGAUCGAAAAGUAGAUAAAAAGGAAAGAAAGAAAUUUCCAACGCGUCACUUUUGCUUUGUGCUGAAUGGACAAAGCCGACGAUUACGUGUGUCGCUCGUCUCCAAUAGCGAUAGUCGAGGUUUCGCCGCCGCCAAAACAGAAUGACAGCCGAAUUGACGGGCCGGGAAGAGGACGAAAAAAUCGAAAGUCAAGCAUAAUAUACGUAUCGAGGACGCUAAGUGGCCGCCGUGCGAGCGCGAUCCUCGUCAGUGGCGGAUUACUUAAUUCGCCGCUGCGGAAUACAGAAAGAGAGAGGGUGAGAGAAAGUAGAGUAGAGAGAGGUAUUUAUUCUAUCUCGGGACAAUGCCCCUGAGAACAAUCGGGUCGUAUUAAUCAAGAUAACACAACGAUGGCUCCGUGUAUCGCGCGGAUCGUAUGAAUAAAGCGUCGCGGUUUCGGUAACUCAAUAUCUCGUCGUUGUGAGUGUUUCAUAAGGACGAAUUAAAAUUCAAUAAGGUUCAUGCGGCAGACUUUCGUUAAUACGGCACUUAUGAACGUCGUUUCGGAAAGCGACGCGAGAGAGAAGGGGAGAGAAAGAGAGUAGGGAAAGAGAGAGAUUCAAAUUCCGCGAUCUCAGUGCGACGUGAAGUCCAACGCAAAUAAUGACAUACGCUGGGGACAAUUUUUGGUAGAUGGUAGUGCAACAUAAGAGAAAAAAGGGAGAGAGAGGGAGGUAGAGAGGAGGGAGGGAGAGAGAGAGAGGCGAUUUUACGCUCGAGGUACGCCUAGGCUAACUUUCUCCGCGGGGGAAAAACCGCCAUGGAUACGUUACCUAACCUGACGCGCGAAGUCCGCCUUGCAGUCGCUGACUCGCACGUCUCCCCUUCCCCCUCUCUCGCGCCCUCCUUGCCCCCUCUCCUCUCCUGUUCUCUGCUCCCGGCAGUCUCCCUUUCCCUGCGCGACCAUCGCCCUCUUCGCUAACCCCCGUCGUUUAUUUACAUACGCUAACACAUUGUCGUCGCGUUGGCGGUCUCGCGUGCGCCCUUCUUCGUCGCCGCUGUCACUGUUAAUCUCGCGACAGCGAAAUGUUUUAACAUUAAAUGUCGUCUUGACGCAGUGCCUGGGAUGAUGUUGGGGCAUGAAAUCAAGGGGCGAAUCGCGUUACGAGAUUCGUGGAAUUAAUUGGCGCCGGCGAACUCGCAAACGCGCGCGAUCGGAAGUGUCGCGAAUUUCGGCAGAUCAAAGAGCGAAUAGAAUUACAAGCGACGAGAUUCGUCGGCGAAUGACGUUAGUCACUCGAAGAAGAUGUUAAUCAAGUUACGUUGAAAUUGUGUUUCUCUUUGUAAUGUUUUUUACAAUGCUCUUUUGUAAAAUUAGUCUGAAAUUACAGUAUAAAUUUACACUAAAAAGAAAUACAUGGUAAUGGAAACUGUAUGAUAGAUGACAACUAAACGAGUUUUGUAUGUAGAAUCAAUGUAAAUUGUUUAAUUAAUUACUUUGUAAUUAUUGCAAUCAAAACUGAAUGGUUAAGAGAAUUGUAUAGAAAAUUGGAAGACUAUAUAUAGUUAUCAUAAUCAUUUAGUUUUAGUUGCAAUAACUAAAAAUAUCUAAAUUCUAUAUAAGAAUACAGAAUAGAGAAAUAAGAAUACAGGUCUAAGAAUAAGAAUAUAGAGAAAAGAAUAAGAAUAUAGAGAAUAAGAAUACAGGUCUUUCUUUGUUAAAAAAAUCUUAUAAAAUAUUUAACUUAUAAAAUAUAUUUUUGCAAAAUAUAUAAAAUAUAUUUUUGCAAAAUAUAUAAAAUAUAUUUUUGCAAAAUAUAUAAAAUAU